rnacentral:rRNA from 1 species
UACAGAGGGUGCGAGCGUUGUUCGGAAUUAUUGGGCGUAAAGGGCGCGUAGGCGGUGCGGUAAGUCACCUGUGAAAUCUCCUGGCUCAACUGGGAGCUUGCAGGCGAAACUGCCGUGCUGGAGUGUGGGAGAGGUGCGUGGAAUUCCCGGUGUAGCGGUGAAAUGCGCAGAUAUCAAGUGGAACACCAGUGGCGAAGGCGAGUCUCUGGACAUUUCCUGACGCUGAGGCACGAAAGCCAGGGGAGCAAACGGG